CUGCCGCUUCCUCAUUUCAGCACUGGAUACAACCGAGGGAGCUUCAAAGAGACCGAACUGUCCACCCGGAGAGGAAAGGCAACCUCACACCAGCGGCUGUGAUGCGUAGCGGGGCUCUGCUGGCUGAACUACACAUCGAUGGGAUAAAACCUCCCGGUCACAUUUAACCGCGUAUUGUGUGUAUGUGUGUGGGUGGGUGUUUGUGUGUGUGUGCGCCGCAAGGACUGAAGAAAUGCUCUUGUAGCGCGAGCGCGAAUGACACUAUCGCCCGCGAGUUUGCUUCACAGAAAUAUUCGGCGGUGCCCUAACUUGGAGCCGUUCGGACGUUAAGCAGGUUUUUUGGUUUGUUUUUGUAUUUAAAAUUAAAUUUGAGUCGUUUACUUGGAGCCCCAAAAGCCCAGGACGAGAUGGAGAGCGAAAAGUACUUGCCGGAGCUUAUGGCAGAGAAGGACACGCUGGACCCGUCUUUUCAGCACUCCUUGCGGCUACUGGAUCAAGAAAUCGAAAAAAUUCAGAAAGAUGAGGAGAAAGAAGAGGAGAAGUUCAUUGACGUCGUCAUCAACAAGAACAUGAAACUGGGCCAGAAAGUUCUAAUACCAGUCAAGCAGUUUCCUAAAUUUAACUUUGUCGGCAAACUCCUCGGGCCACGCGGGAACUCGUUAAAGAGACUACAGGAGGACACUCUCACAAAGAUGUCAAUUCUCGGAAAAGGAUCCAUGAGAGACAAAGAAAAGGAAGAAGAGCUACGGCAAAGCGGCGAGGCCAAAUAUCACCACCUGAACGAAGACCUGCACGUCCUCAUCGAGGUGUUCGCCCCGCCGGCUGAGGCCUACGCUAGGAUGGGUCACGCUUUGGAGGAGAUCAAGAAGUUUCUCAUACCGGAUUACAAUGAUGAAAUCAGACAGGCCCAGCUGCAGGAACUCACAUACCUGAACGGCGGCUCAGAGGAUGCCAAGGUGCCAUCGGUGAGGGGCAAGUCAGUCGCCCGUGGAAGAGGGACACCUGUUCCAGGGCCUCCCAGGAGUCGAGGAGGAGUUCCUCCGCUGCAUGCGGCGGUGCCCCGAGGAGCAGCACCCAGAGGAGCCCCACCAAUCCGGGCUCCAUCUUCCAGAGGGAGGGGGGUUCAGAGAGCCAGAGGAGCUCCCCCAACCGCCGGGUACCGGCCAGCUCCUCCCAUAGUUCAAGACACAUAUGGCGAAUAUGAAUAUGAAGACGACUACGGAACAGCUUACGAUGACCAAGAAUAUGAAGCGUAUGACAACAACUACAGUAAUCAAGGACAAAACUCAGAUGACUACUAUGAAUAUGGACACAGUGGGGAAUCAUAUGACUCAUAUGGUGUGGAAGAGUGGGCGAACAAUCGCGGCAAGGCACCGCCGGCACGAACAACCAAGGGAGUGUACAGAGAUCAGCCGUACACCAGAUAUUGAACUGUUUAUACAACCUGCACCUGAGUCCUCAUGGCUGUUUCAACCCAAGUCAAUGUCCCGGCUAGUCCUGGCCAUCCCUCCAAUUGUCUCAUUGGUGCUAAAGACUUGACAAACCGCACACGAGCUUCCGUCCAUUUCAACAUUCAAGCCAACACAGUGUCAAACCAAAUCCCUAAAAGGCCGUCUGACUUCGCAAAGGAUCUUCCCUUGAACUUUUAAAUUAUCACAGUGUGGACUGAGGUGAAUCCUGCAAGGGACGAAAUAGAGUGAGAUACAGAGAAGGGGGUUGGGGGGUGUAUCUAUAUAUGUGCAUUUAUCACACAUCGUUGUUCUCCGGAGAAAGAGAUGGACAGGAAAUCCGUGAGGCAAAUGGAGUUCCUCAUCCUCUGGGACGAUCUGUCUGAGAAUAUUUCCUUCAAUUCUUCUGUAUACAUUUAACAUACACACAGGAGUGCUCUGAACUGGUUCUGAACCUGCCCUGUGUCUUUCCUCAUUAAGACUAUUGAGGGGAUGUGUCUACUACUUGUGUUAGACAAUACUUCCUAGGAAGGAUGAGUAAAUAAAUAAUGCAAUAUGCUAAGGAAAUGACAUAUUUCUAGCAGUGACACUUUGAAUGUCAUAUUGUGCUCAUUAACCUAUAUCCCAUCCACUUCAAUGAAUAAAUAAUUCAACAAGUGCCUUAUUGUUCCAUUGUUAUGACAGCUUUAGAUGUUUAGUCCUAUUGCCAGAGAUAAAAAUAUGGAGCAAUACACUUUAAAAGGUAGCGUUUUUCUUCUUCUUUUAUGCUGUUUUUGUGGUUGUCUGUGUGCAUUACCACGAAGCUGGAAAACACCUCCCAGCCUCACACACAAGUACAGUCUAUUCCAGAUGUAUUGCUUAAUCAGAUUCGACUUCAGUGGAUAUUACAAUUCCAAAAUAGCUUUCCAUCGGAUAGAGAGCUUCAUUCUGCCUUGUGCAUAAGUCCAGAUAGGCUGAUCCGUAUUCCACACAGUUGUAUGUCCUCAGUGGCAGACAAAAGUUUUCCAUUAGAGGAAGUGAUUCUCUCUGGAGCCGCGGGCCAAGCCCCAGACAAUAACAUAGCGACCUAAAGCUUGCAUCUCGGGCUCCCUGAGUUAACUCUCAUCACCUCCGGGAGCAGAUUCCCCUUCUGAGGUGGCUUAACACGACAGGCUUAUCUGAAGUAGGUUUGUCCAAGUUAAUAAAGUAAAAGCAGCUUAUUUGAUUAAAGUGUAUUUAUACAAAGGAGGCUGUUGCGAUCUGUCACUGGGAGAAAAGUCCAUUUCAACACUGGAAGACAGAUCGAUGGGUCCUUGAUGUUGGGUACAGGGAAAACCCCGGAGGUGUUUUAAAAGGGUUUCGGAGGAUCUGGAGCAAAAUUACAAAAAGCUUUAAGGCCCCAAAAAACUAUUUUCUCAAUUAGCUUCUUACUGUGAAUGAGGAAGCCCUACAUGAACACAAAAUG